UGUGCUUCUCGGCCUUUUGGUUAAGAUCAAGUGUAGUAUCUGUUCUUAUCAAUUUUAGUUACUUUUUAAUAUUAAUUUUAAGCAUCCUUA
rnacentral:snRNA from 1 species